GUGGGGAAUAUUGGACAAUGGGGGGAACCCUGAUCCAGCCAUGCCGCGUGUGUGAAGAAGGCCUUUUGGUUGUAAAGCACUUUAAGCGAGGAGGAGGCUCCUUUAGUUAAUACCUAAAGAGAGUGGACGUUACUCGCAGAAUAAGCACCGGCUAACUCUGUGCCAGCAGCCGCGGUAAUACAGAGGGUGCGAGCGUUAAUCGGAUUUACUGGGCGUAAAGCGCGCGUAGGUGGCCAAUUAAGUCAAAUGUGAAAUCCCCGAGCUUAACUUGGGAAUUGCAUUCGAUACUGGUUGGCUAGAGUAUGGGAGAGGAUGGUAGAAUUCCAGGUGUAGCGGUGAAAUGCGUAGAGAUCUGGAGGAAUACCGAUGGCGAAGGCAGCCAUCUGGCCUAAUACUGACACUGAGGUGCGAAAGCAUGGGGAGCAAACAGGAUUAGAUACCCCUGUAGUCC
rnacentral:rRNA from 1 species